rnacentral:rRNA from 1 species
AACGAACGCUGGCGGCAGGCUUAACACAUGCAAGUCGAGCGCCUCGCAAGAGGAGCGGCAGACGGGUGAGUAACGCGUGGGAAUCUACCCAUCCUUACGGAACAACUCCGGGAAACUGGAGCUAAUACCGUAUACGCCCUUAGGGGGAAAGAUUUAUCGAGGAUGGAUGAGCCCGCGUUGGAUUAGCUAGUUGGUGGGGUAAAGGCCUACCAA